rnacentral:rRNA from 1 species
CGUCUCGGGGUGCGCGAGUGGCGGUGAUGUGACGGUCGGCGUUCGCGUUGGCCGCCUCACCGUUACCGCAGUACAACGAACGUGUGCACUUCUCCCCUAGUAGAAGGUCGUGACCCGUUGGGUGCCCGUCUACGGCCCGCGGUGGAGCCCGUGCGGAGGAUUUCGCGAUCCUCCGUCGGACCCGCGGUGUCCUGGCCGGCCCGCUCGACGGUGCUGACGUUGGCGAGGGGCCGCGAUUUUCGCGUCCGGCGCGUGACAAGCUCGGACGGUUCAAUCCGUCUGUCGGACCUAGUGCCGACGGCGGACCCUUUCGGCUGCUGGUCGCGUUGUCCUCGGACAGACCCCCUUUUACGCCUGUCAACGACGCCUUUGCAUUGGGUACUCUCAGGACCCGUCUUGAAACACGGACCAAGGAGUCUAGCAUGUGCGCGAGUCAUUGGGACUAGCGAAACCUAAAGGCGAAAUGAAAGCAAAGGCCGCUUCAGGGCGUGCCGAGGGAGGAUGCGGAGUGCCAAGGUGCUCCGCCGCACUCCCRGGGCGUCUCGAGCUCAUCGCGAGCUGAGGCGCACCUAGAGCGUACACGCUGGGACCCGAAAGAUGGUGAACUAUGCCUGGUCAGGACGAAGUCAGGGGAAACCCUGAUGGAGGUCCGUAGCG